rnacentral:rRNA from 1 species
AGCGAACGCUGGCGGCAGGCCUAACACAUGCAAGUCGAACGAACUCUUCGGAGUUAGUGGCGGACGGGUGAGUAACACGUGGGAACGUGCCUUUUGGUUCGGAAUAACUCAGGGAAACUUGUGCUAAUACCGAAUGUGCCCUUCGGGGGAAAGAUUUAUCGCCAUUAGAGCGGCCCGCGUCUGAUUAGCUAGUUGGUGAGGUAACGGCUCACCAAGGCGACGAUCAGUAGCUGGUCUGAGAGGAUGACCAGCCACACUGGGACUGAGACACGGCCCAGACUCCUACGGGAGGCAGCAGUGAGGAAUCUAGCGCAAUGGGCGAAAGCCUGACGCAGCCAUGCCGCGUGAAUGAUGAAGGGCUUAGGAUUGUAAAAUUCUUUCACCGGGGACGAUAAUGACGUUACCCGGAGAAGAAGCCCCGGCUAACUUCGU